GGGAAACUCAGGCGUGUAGACACAACCAUUCGCCAUUGAACAUUCUACAAGACGCGCAGCAUUUCUGUUUUGAGAGCAUUUUCAGAGAAGAAUUAUGGCAAGUAAAUCUUUAAAAUCGAAGACAAAGACAAAGUAUGCAGAUCUACACGAUAUCAUUGACGAGAUUGAUAGAGAUAGUGAAUUAAUACAAGAUGAGUCAGACAGUGAGCAUUCUUUUGACUCGAAAUCUGAGGUGAUGUUCCUGUAUGGAGAAGAUUCUGUGUUGGAUUGUCCCAGCGAUUCUGAUUGGGAGCCCAUACUGCCAAGGUGCAAAUCCCCCCACUGAAGCUGGUCCAUCCAGCCGGACCCCUGCUGUCUCCGGCACCACACCUACCCCCGCCCGGCGAGGGACACCUGGGUGACUUCAUGCUCAAUGGCAUGUACCUCACUCAUUCCUGAAGAUAUCUGUCUGAAACGUUGGUCAAAUACUGUUGCCCACUUAUGUUCUUAUUUGAAAUUAUGCUCAGUAUCAUAACAGAAUGUUUGGCUGUUCUUGUUUAUUUUAAAGAUGCAACAACAAUAAAAGAACAGAAAAAAGUA